rnacentral:rRNA from 1 species
GAGAAAUAUGGAUGGGAUACGUCACGCUAGUCAAAGGUGCGGAAUGGAGCACCUGGCGUACGGCUCAGUAACACGCCCUUUAAUACCCUAAGGACGAGAACAACUACGGGAAACUGUGCCUAAUUCUCGAUAGGAAAUUUGGCCUGGAACGGUAUCUUUCUAAAAACCGGACCGCCGUGGGACACGGGCCUUAGGAUGGGGCUGCGGCCGAUUAUGCUUGAUGGCGGUGUAAAGGACCACCAUGGCUACGAUCGGUAUGGGCGAUGGAAGUCGGAGCCCAGAGUCGGCUACUGAGACAAGGAGCCGAGCUUUACGAAGCUUAGCGGUCGCGAAAACUCGCCAAUGCACGAAAGUGUGAGUGGGCUACUCCAAGUGACUUUCUUACGGAAGUCUGUCGCUCAGUCUUACCAGCUGAGAAAGGAAGGAGAGGGCAAGGCUGGUGCCAGCCGCCGCGGUAAAACCAGCUCUUCGAGUGGUCAGGACGAAUAUUGGGUCUAAAGCGCUCGUAGCCGGACAAGUAGGUUCCUGGUUAAAUCCGACAGCAUAACUGUUGGCCCGCUGGGAAUACCGCUAGUCUUGGAAGCGGGAGAGGACAGAGGUAGUCAUAGGGCAGGGGUGAAAUCCAGUGAUCCUAUGGCGACCACCGAUGGCGAAGGUAUCUGUCUGGAACGUAUUCGACGGUGAGGGGCGAAAGCUAGGGGAGCGGCCCGGAUUAGAUACCCGGUUAGUCCUAGCCGUAAACGAUGCGGACUAGGUGUUACGGCGGCCAAGAGCCCCCGUAGUGCCACAGUGAAGACGUUAAGUCCCCCACCUGGGGAAGACGGGAUGCCAAGUCUGAAACUCAAAGGAA